GUAUUUUUUAAUAGUUUUUUAAAAUUGUUUUACAUAUAUAAUGUAUGUAAUGUUAUUAUUAUUUCAGGAUUACCGCUUUGAGGUAGUCUUCAUUGAUGUAUGCUUGAUUUUGAAAAUAAAAAAAAAAUCCAGUAAACUAUAUGUACACUAAAUGAAUUUCAUCAACACACCAGAGCCAAUGGGUAUGCCCGAUCAUGUGUCUGAGGACACUGUGAUGUAUACGAGUUAAAGAUGAACUCCUGUCGGAUUUGUUAACGGCUGGAUGAUGAUCAUACAAAGACAGUUAAAGGCAACGAAAAGGAAUGCAAGGGAAUAAAUGCUGCCAGUGAGAAAUAAAAUGACAGUUUAAAAGUUGAAUCGGAAUAAUAUAUUCACAUUGAGUGUAGAAAGAUGUACUGUAACCCACAUUACACUAAAAGAGACACUAAGACAGAAAAAGAAAACACUGAUGCCACCAUUGAGAUCAAUGACUGAUAAGUUUUCAUACAAAAAGAUUGUUUAUAUUGUGGUCAAUCUUUAAUAAGUAAGGGUAAAACAAGGAAGUGUGAUGUUUCGCCAGUAAGGACACUAGAACCUACUGUUUUGAAUAUAUGUAUACAGAGGAAUAACUGUUUGUCUGAUACAGUGAGAGCAAGGAUAGAACAGGUUCACAACUUGCUUGUAGCCGAUGCUCUUUACCAUCAAACAUGUUUAUGCUCCUCUAAUUUCAGAACUGGAAAAGAUAUACCAGAAGAAUUUCAGGUGCUACCAUCUAGUGAUAAAAA